CUGGGAGGAACAGCACCUAGCAUUGCUGUGGUGUCCAACACUUGAUCAUAAUAUGAAAAAGUGUUGCUAGGAAUAAACUUGAUUCCAGCAUCAGCCAUCUGCAUCCAGAUAGAUGACCUGAGAUCUGUUGCCACCUUCUGUAAUUCCUCAGCACUGCUCUUGCCAUCCCAGAAAGAUUCCAAAGCAAAUUUGAGUUCUCUCUUAGGCCCCAUUCGAGGAUAACCAACGAUGUGGGACGCCAUUGCCCUAAAAGAAGAAGAGAAAGAGGAGAAGGCACGGACACUGAUGGAGAAGCGAAGAAAAGAAGGAGCCUUAGUUGAGAAAGAGAGAGAGGCAACAGAUAUCACUCCAAGAGAAGUGAACGGCGCGAGUACGUGAUGAGAGACUUUGCU
rnacentral:misc_RNA from 1 species